rnacentral:lncRNA from 1 species
CUUAUCGGCAAAGAACACUGUGAGUUGUGAUCAAUUGAUUGCUGACUUAUUUUCAUGCAGGUUCCCGUUACUUGGAAGUUGGAUCAUGGCAGGAGGCCGGGUCUAACUGAGUAACGGUUUGAUUAGUUAAUAGUUGAGUGUUAGUUGAUUGAGUUGAUAGAAUGUUUAGUUAUUGCUUGGGAAUUAUAGUAGCAUGCUAAUGGUUAGGUUGAUUGGUUAGUUAGCGAAUGCUGUAUGCUUAGAUGAUAUCGCUACGUUGUGGAUAGUUAGGUAUUCUGGAAUUAGUCAUUAUGCUAGAUUCUAGAAUAUGUUUGAUUGUGUUAAUUUGCGAUUAAUACAAGGAACCUUGUGUUAUUUUACCGGGUUUAGUAUUAGUCAUGUAUUGGCCAUAUAGGAUUUGUGUAACCCACAAUACUAGGCAUGUUUGAAGUUGAAUGUGUUGAUUGUGUGGUAAUUAAUACCAGGAACCUUGUGUUAUUUUUACCGGGUUUAGUAUUAAUCGUAUAUUGGCCGAUAGCAUUUGUGUAACCCACAAUGCUAGGGAUAUUGUGGUGAGUUAGUGUUCCUUCAGACCUCAUACCCGGCGGGUUCAAGGAAACCCCCUAUUCGCUGGAUCGGGAAGACUCAGAUAGACGGGUCAUGGCCUAUGGCUGAG